UUCGGGAACUCUGACACGAGGUGCUGCAGUGGCUGUCGUCAGCUCGUGUCGUGAGAUGGUUAGGGUUAAGUCCCGUAACGAGCGCAACCCUUGUCCUAGUUACCAGCACGUUAUGGUGGGCACUCUAAGGAGACUGCCGGUGACAAACCGGAGGAAGGUGGGGAUGACGUCAAGUCAUCAUGGCCCUUACGGCCUGGGCUACACACGUGCUACAAUGGUCGGUACAAAGGGUUGCCAAGCCGCGAGGUGGAGCUAAUCCCAUAAAACCGAUCGUAGUCCGGAUCGCAGUCUGCAACUCGACUGCGUGAAGUCGGAAUCGCUAGUAAUCGUGAAUCAGAAUGUCACGGUGAAUACGUUCCCGGGCCUU
rnacentral:rRNA from 1 species